UACGUAGGGCGCAAGCGUUGUCCGGAAUUAUUGGGCGUAAAGAGCUCGUAGGCGGUCUGUCGCGUCUGUUGUGAAAACUCGAGGCUCAACCUCGGGCUUGCAGUGGAUACGGGCAGACUAGAGUGCGGUAGGGGAGACUGGAAUUCCUGGUGUAGCGGUGGAAUGCGCAGAUAUCGGGAGGAACACCAGUGGCGAAGGCAGCGAUCUGGGAAGAUACUGACGCUGAGGUGCGAAAGCGUGGGGAGCAAACAGG
rnacentral:rRNA from 1 species